rnacentral:lncRNA from 1 species
CUGGUGCUUCAGAUGAUGAUGAUGAUGAUGAGGCUACCGGUUCUGAUGCCGGUAGUGAGGAGGGUUCCGAGUCCUUGGAGGGCUAAGUUUUUUUUUUAUUUUAUGUUUAUUUCUAUUGUAUUUUUUUAGACUUAUUGUACUUUGAUUUGGCUUUGUACUUUUGGGGUGUUUUGUCCCCCUUGAACAAUUUUAUAUUUUGAAGUUAAUAUUAUUAUUUAUGUUUAAAUUUUGCUGUUUUAAUAAAUUUUUGGUCGGUUGAGU